CUCUCCCGGUCUCGCGUCGUUACCCCUGCGUGAAGCGAUAAGUCGCGCGCGGGUCGGCGAUUCACUCUGGGGGUCUCCGCCGCUGAGCCCUCCUGAAAGACUGACUGGCGGAAACUGGGACUGGAGUGUGAGCAUCUGAGGGGCUCUCCAGUGGGGCUUGGAGAGGAAUGUCUCAAAUGACUUUUCUUGAAAGCUGAGGGUGGCAUCUUCUGAUCAAUCAUGUCAUCAAUUGCUAGAAAUAUGAGAACUCUCCAGAAGAUCAAGUACCGUGUAGUAGUUACCAUGCACAGGCCCCAUAGAGCCCUGGCCUUGGAGAAUGCCCUAUUCACCAACCCAAAAGAAGGUCCCAUGUGACAAAGUUUGGAUUAGACAUUACAAAUGGCUUCCAAUGGACUACUUGCCAGACUUUGUCAUGGGAACCAUCUGACGAGCAGAACAAAGUGCAAGUGCAUAAGCAACUUCCAAUGAGAACCUCUGUAUGGGCUUGGCCCAGGUAUCUUGAAACCCUGGGAAGACCUAAAUAUAAACAAGCGCUCCAUUCCUUUGUCUUCCCACCUAAAACCCCUGGCUACAGUGAGAUAGCCAUGAGCAGACCUGGUACUUCUUGAAGCUCAUCACCAGAGC